AUUGAACGCUGGCGGCAUGCUUUACACAUGCAAGCCGAACGGUAACAGGCCGCAAGGUGCUGACGAGUGGCGAACGGGUGAGUAAUGCAUCGGAACGUGCCCAGUCGUGGGGGAUAACGCAGCGAAAGCUGUGCUAAUACCGCAUACGAUCUAUGGAUGAAAGCGGGGGACCGUAAGGCCUCGCGCGAUUGGAGCGGCCGAUGUCAGAUUAGGUAGUUGGUGGGGUAAAGGCUCACCAAGCCAACGAUCUGUAGCUGGUCUGAGAGGACGACCAGCAACACUGGGACUGAGACACGGCCCAGACUCCUACGGGAGGCAGCAGUGGGGAAUUUUGGACAAUGGGCGCAAGCCUGAUCCAGCAAUGCCGCGUGCAGGAAGAAGGCCUUCGGGUUGUAAACUGCUUUUGUACGGAACGAAAAGGUUUGGGUUAAUACCCUGGGCCGAUGACGGUACCGUAAGAAUAAGCACCGGCUAACUACGUGCCAGCCGCCGCCGUAACAC
rnacentral:rRNA from 1 species